rfam:Triticum urartu cultivar G1812 contig205330, whole genome shotgun sequence.
CUUGUACUCCCUCCGUCCGAAAAUACUUGUCAUUGAAAUGGAUGUAUCUAGAUGUAUUUUAGUUCUAGACACAUCCAUUUUGAUGACAAGUAAUUCCGGACGGAUGGAGUACUUG